UUAUACGGCGGGCGAUGCGUGGGGAUCCUUGAUCCGCCGGCCAUUUUUUGUACAUCCGCCCGGUAUGCUAACCCGCAUCGCCCGCCACCCAG
rnacentral:antisense_RNA from 2 species